UUCAAAGCUAAUAUAUCUCUGAAUGUAUCACAGCUUUUCCAGUGAAGGCAAUACUUGGAAACUCUGCCAUUGUUGAAGGCACUGAGGAAUCUGGUUCCAAUUUAUGAAGAGGUAAAGGACAACAGCAGGGGACUGAAGGACAGUUUGGGUAGGGGUUCCCCUUCAGUGGAUCCGAUUACAUUCCAAGUUCUAGAGAUCACCUUCCUCUUGAAUAUUUUUUUUUAAAAAAGGAACAUUUUUCAUUUCCCACCUUCCCUGACAACA